rnacentral:rRNA from 1 species
UAGUCCACGCCGUAAACGAUGAUUACUAGGUGCUCGAAAUACUAACUUUUUGGGUACCGUAGCUCACGCAUUAAGUAAUCCGCCUGGGGAGUACGGUCGCAAGGCUAAAACUCAAAGGAAUUGACGGGGGCCCGCACAAGCGGUGGAGUAUGUGGUUUAAUUCGACGAUAAGCGAGGAACCUUACCCAGACUUGACAUCCCGAGAACCCUGUGGAAACACGGGGGUGCCGUUUACGGAAUUCGGUGACAGGUGCUGCAUGGUUGUCGUCAGCUCGUGCCGUGAGGUGUACGGUUAAGUCCGAUAACGAGCGCAACCCUUAUCAUUAGUUGUAUUUCUCUAAUGAGACUGCCCAUGUAAGUGGGAGGAAGGUGGGGAUGACGUCAAAUCAGCAUGGCUCUUACGUCUGGGGGCUACACACGUGCUACAAUGGGGUAUACAAUGAGUAGCCAACCCGCGAGGGGGAGCCAAUCUCAUCAAAGUAUCUCUAAGUUCGGAUUGAAGGCUGCAAUUCGCCUUCA